rnacentral:rRNA from 1 species
GGAUUGUAAACUCCUGUCGUUAGGGACGAUAAUGACGGUACCUAACAAGAAAGCACCGGCUAACUACGUGCCAGCAGCCGCGGUAAAACGUAGGGUGCAAGCGUUGUCCGGAAUUACUGGGUGUAAAGGGAGCGCAGGCGGACCGGCAAGUUGGAAGUGAAAACUAUGGGCUUAACCCAUAAAUUGCUUUCAAAACUGCUGGCCUUGAGUAGUGCAGAGGUAGGUGGAAUUCCCGGUGUAGCGGUGGAAUGCGUAGAUAUCGGGAGGAACACCAGUGGCGAAGGCGACCUACUGGGCACCAACUGACGCUGAGGCUCGAAAGCAUGGGUAGCAAACAGGAUUAGAUACCCUGGUAGUCCAUGCCGUAAACGAUGAUUACUAGGUGUUGGAGGAUUGACCCCUUCAGUGCCGCAGUUAACACAAUAAGUAAUCCACCUGGGGAGUA